CAACGCUGUCCACAGUGCCCAGCACACAGCGGGACGGGGAGAUCAAACUAUGUCUUUCAAGUGAGAAACCUCAAAGGCAGAAAAGCGACCGGUGCUCGGGCUUGGAUGGUUUGGGCGAGACACAUCUGAAUGCCCCUUUGCGGGUGGGUGUGGGAGAAGCGUCUUAGUUGAAGCUAAGAAGUCUGCUCUUAGCUUCAGGGUGUGGAGUCGGCUCUUCACACUCCUAACUGUGAAACCUGGGGCAGUUAGUCUUCUGGGCUCCUGAUUCCUCAUGGAUGAAAUGGGGCUGACAGUGCUUUCUCGGAGGAUGGUUGUAAGGAUUUCUGGAGUCAAUGCGUAAAAGCACGUUGGUAAAAAUAGUAAUGUGCUUCACCUGCAGAUUCUUUUAAUUAUUGUCCUCGCAGCUCAGUUCAUUUCUCUCUGUCUUCCCCAAGUGGCAUAGAGACCUUAAGGCCGUCAUGAGUUUGAGUGGGGAGGCGACCCCUUAAAUCCUGUUCCCAGAAUAAACCAUAAGUAAUGAGACUCGCCAGAACAAGAGCUGUGUCUAAAAAUGGGUGGGGCCUGACUGUGGAGGGGCCUUCUGAUGGUCUCUUCCAAUACCUGCUCUUCUUCCUUUCAAGAAACAAAAGAAACAAACAAAAAAACCCAAAACAAUAACAAAAACCUGGGCCGGGUGUGGUGGCUCACACCUGUAAUCCCAACACUUUGGGAGGCUGAGGCAGGCAGGUGGUUUGAGUCCAUGAGUUUGAGACCAGCCUGGGACAAUAUGAUGAGACCUCAUCUCUACAAAAUAUUAGCUGGGCAUGGUGGGUGGACACCUGCAGUUCCUGCUACUUGGGAGGCUGAGGUGGGAGGAUCACCUGAACCCAGGAAGUGGAGGUUGUAGUGAGCAGAGAUAACACCACUGCUCUCCAGCCUGGGCGACAAAGUGAGACCCUGUCUCAAACAAACAAAAAUCACUGAGCACAUGGCCAGCUGGAAUAAAAGCUUCAUUUCCUGGUACUGCUUGUAGCUGGGUGUAGCCGUUCUACUCUGCAUGUUAAAGCAUCAAAUGGGGCUUUCCAGAUGGAUCCUUCCUAAGGCCUUGUAUCCUUCCUGCUGGGUGGAUUUGGAAUGUGAUGCCUGGAGCUGUUGCAGUCGCCUCGUUGUAUGAGAAUGGUAAGGACAUUGACGGAAAAAGAGGCAAGGGGUCAGGCUCCCUCUCAGCCAUGGAGGCACAAUUCUAGCCCAGGAGUGCUUAGCACUAGAUAGUAUUUACGUGAGAGAGAAAGAAACUUUUAUCUUUUUUAAGCUGCUGUUCCGUUUUGCUCACAUAGCCUUUAUCAUUGUCCUGUUAUUCACAAACCCAGUGUCUGUUGCCACAGGCGAGGUAAGCAGCUAUAUAAUGAUGAUGGAAAAGUCCAGAAGUGGCUAAUAGAGACAUAGAAGAAUACCUCCCUCCCAAGACAGAAAGCAAAAUAAUGUCGAAAAGUUUAAGCACCACAGUAUUAGGAUUAUAGCAGCUCCCUCCAUAGUGCAUCCUACCCAGGUAAGUCAAAAUACAACCAUGCCGGGGUCAGAGUUCAAGCUACGAUUAUUGUUUACAGUCACCAAUUCCAAACAUGUUUUUAGCGUCAAAGUAUCAGAUUGUCUAAAAUUAUCCCAGUGCAAGAGCAACUUGCCAACCAUUUUCUAAAGUGUCUUCAAUGCUCAGGAUGACUGUGCCUGGGGGUGGAAGAGAGCCGAACUGAUGUGUGCCUGAUGGUGCCAAGUGCUCACGUGUCUUUCGGGAGUCACAAACAGCUGGAAAGAACGGCUGCAGAGUCUCCAGAUGUGUUUUUCUUGUCCAUCGGCAGCUGCGUUGAAUCCAGAUCAGUGCAGGUUAUGAAGCCUUUUAUAGGACUGAGCUAAAAGUAUACCCUGGGUUGUUGGAGCAUCAGGUGUGGGAAUGAUAUAAUCAGUGAGGUAUGAGAGUCGGGCUGGC
rnacentral:lncRNA from 10 species